rnacentral:rRNA from 1 species
CCUACGGGUGACAGCAGUGAGGAAUAUUGGUCAAUGGACGUAAGUCUGAACCAGCCAUGCCGCGUGCAGGAAGACGGCUCUAUGAGUUGUAAACUUCUUUUGUACAAGGGUAAACCUGAAUACGUGUAUUCAGCUGAAAGUACUGUGCGAAUAAGGAUCGGCUAACUCCGUUCCAGCAGCCGCGGUAAUACGGAAGAUCCAAGCGUUUUCCGGAUUUAUUUGGUUUAAAGGGUGCGUAGGCGGAUUGAUAAGUUAGAGGUGAAAAGUGCGAGCUUAACUCGGGAACUGCCUCUAAUACUGUUGUUCUAGAGAGUAGAUGAGGUAGGCGGAAUGUAUGGUGUAGCGGUGAAAUGCUUAGAGAUCAUACAGAACACUGAUUGCGAAGGCAGCUUACCAAUCUAUAUCUGACGUUGAGGCACGAAAGCGUGGGGAGCAAACAGGAUUAGAUACCCGGGUAGUC